rnacentral:Y_RNA from 1 species
GGCUGGUCAGAAGGCAGUGAGUUAUCUCAAGUGACUGUUCACAGUCAGUCACAGAUUGAACUCCUUGUGCUACUCUUUUCCCCUUCUCACUACUGCACUUGACUAGUCAAAA